ensembl:ncRNA F52B10.12 ncRNA
UCGUAUGCACAAGAUAAAUGGGUGCGACAAAGGUGGUAGCUCUAUCGUCAGCCGGCGUUCUCCUCACGGACACCCGCCGCCCCGACCUCUUAGAAUUGCUGAUUAAUUCAUCCAGUGGGACGUCGCGAAAGAAACCUAUAUCUA